UGGACCCACACGAGAAAAACGGAGUACCCGAUCGGGAAAAGCGGGGACCCGGGUGGAAGGCGCUGUCGGGCUCCGGCGGGGAGACCAGCGGACGCCUGCGGUGUGUGGGGAGCAACAGCCCUAGCAGGUGGAAUUGGCCCAUUUGCUGAAGUUUCUUUCCCUCAUAGCCCAGGGAGAAAUUUACAUUUGGACUUUAUCUUACCAUGGCUUUGGUUCUCAGGUUUCUGAAUGGCGCUUAUAUUUUCAGACAUUGCCCAAAGCCAUAUGCCUCAUGUCCAUAUUUGGGUACCCGCUUUGCAGACUAUUGUUCUAGUAGUCUUCAGAACCCAGUGGCUGCUUCUGGUAGAACCUCCUCUCAGAGGAAAUCUGAAGGGGAUUUGCAAGGACAUCACCAGAGAGAAGUUGCUUUGGAUAUAGCAUCUCCUGAAGAAAAGCCUGAAGUUAGUUUUGAUAAAGCAAUUAAAGAUGAAAUAAAGGACCAUUUUAGGCGUUUGAAGGAUGAUAUUGUGAAUCAUUGGAUAGGCCCUGAAGGCCGCCCUCUGCAUGAGGUCUUGAUGGAACAAGCCAAGGUUGUCUGGCAGUUCCGUGGAAAAGAAGAUUUGGAUAAGUGGGUAGUGACUUCUGAUAAGUCUAUUGGAGGCAGAAGUGAAGUGUUCCUGAAAAUGAGCAAGAAUAAUCAGAGUGCACUGCUGUAUGGAACUCUGAGCUCUGAGGUGCCUAAGGAUGGGGAAAGUGGCCGCAGUGGGUACUGUGCAAUGAUAUCCAGGAUUCCAAGGGGCCCUUUUGAGAAAAAGAGGGCUUAUGAUUGGUCCCAGUUCAACACUCUGUAUCUCCGUGUACGUGGAGAUGGUCGGCCUUGGAUGGUGAAUAUCCAGGAGGACACGGAUAUAAUCCAGAGGAAGAAUCAGAUGUACAGUUACUUCAUGUUCACCCGUGGGGGGCCCUACUGGCAGGAGGUCAAGAUUCCUUUCUCCAAAUUUUUCUUCUCUAAUCAAGGAAGAAUUCGGGAUGCCCAGUACCAGCUUCUGCUUGACAAGAUCUCUUCUAUUGGAUUCACCUUGGCUGAUAAAGUGGAUGGUCCAUUCUUCCUGGAAAUAGAUUUUAUUGGAGUGUUUACAGAUCCAGCCCACACAGAAGAGUUCGCCUAUGAAAAUUCUCCAGAGCUUAACCCAAGACUUUUUAAAUAGAGAUGGUGGGCAGGGCAGUUGCUUGUACCUGUAUCGCUAUGGCGACCGAAUCAGAAAUAACUUCUGGUUGUGCUGAGUCCUGUACUACAGAAGCCUUUCCCAGCUGCCAUGAACCCAGGUUUGGAAAACCCAUCUGU